rnacentral:rRNA from 1 species
UAAGGAAUAUUGGGCAAUGGACGCAAGUCUGACCCAGCCAUGCCGCGUGCAGGAUGAAGGCGUUAUGCGUUGUAAACUGCUUUUGUAUGAGAAGAAUGACGGAGAUUUAUCUCUGGAGAGACGGUACCAUACGAAUAAGCACCGGCUAACUCCGUGCCAGCAGCCGCGGUAAUACGGAGGGUGCGAGCGUUAUCCGGAAUCACUGGGUUUAAAGGGUGCGUAGGCGGUUUAUUAAGUCAGUAGUGAAAGACUGUCGCUUAACGACGGAUGUGCUAAUGAUACUGGUAGACUUGAAAGAGGUUAAGGUUGUCGGAAUGAGUCAUGUAGCGGUGAAAUGCAUAGAUAUGACUUGGAACACCGAUAGCGAAGGCAGGCAACUGAGCCUUAUUUGACGCUGAGG